AGAGAAAAGAAUGGUACAAUCGCCCACCCCCCUGAAAAGGGAAAGAAGUAAAAAAAAAAAAAAAAGAAUUCAUCAAAAGAAAACGUUUGCGGCUUCAUGUCUGAUUUUUGCCGACACGCAGUAAAGUUCGCAAAUGCUAUUCGCCUUUGUUAAAGCCUCCAUCAACCACACCCACCAAUAAAAAAAGAAAUGGCUGCGCGGUAUAAGCCACACUAAUAAAGGCAUCGAUUGCUUUGGGAAAACCUCGUGAUCGGAAUAAUUCGGCCACGCUUUGCAAGCGGAUUGUUACGCCAGCGCGCCGGAACAUCCCGGCCUACAUAAGCAAGCAGUGUGUGG